AAAUUGCGUUAGGGAUUGCAGCGAAAAUCCUUUGCUGAAAGCAAAGAUUGUAGCGGAAAGCCCGACCGAAG
rnacentral:sRNA from 1 species